CGGUGAAUACGUUCCCGGGCCUUGUACACACCGCCCGUCAAACCAUGGGAGUCGAAGGUACCUGAAGUCCAUAACCGCAAGGAGUGGCCCAAGGUAAAUUUGGUGACUAGGGUU
rnacentral:rRNA from 1 species